UUGACCUCGAAUCGAGGUAGGAAUACCCGCUGAACUUAAGCAUAUCAAUAAGCGGAGGAAAAGAAACCAACCGGGAUUACCUCAGUAACGGCGAGUGAAGCGGCAAUACGGAUGCAAUAGUCGUUACAAGGUUAGGACGGGGGGGAUCGAGAGGAAGUUAG
rnacentral:rRNA from 1 species